rnacentral:lncRNA from 1 species
GCUCUGGCUUCUGGAUUCUUGUCACAGCGGCCCACUUCUGCUUGUAUGCUCUUGAGAUAGGAGUCAGUGGAGGCAGGAUCUGUCAAAUGCAUAGACACUGGGAGAAAUGGGAUCAGAAAUGCUUCAGUGGGAGCUGGGAAUGAAAAUUUAAUUGAGCUACUCUUACCCUCCUUAGGAGUCCAGGAGAGAAAACACGUGAGGAUUACUUAGGACUUCAGAGCCAGUUAACUUAGGAUUUCAGAGCCACAGUGUCUGUAAAAGAGACUUUUGUCAUGCCAUGCUUGCCUUGAACAGACUCUGGAGUCAAGCCUGUGACUGUCCUCAGAUCCUUCAUGGUGGGAAGGAAAUCUAAAAGAGAAGUAGCAUAGCCUGAGCUUCUCUUCUUGGGCAAGAGUUGGAGUCUCCUGACGUGUGAGCUGAAAAGACAAGGCUUUUUGCUGGGAAUAGGGUGUGUGCAGACUGAAAAGCACUGAGGAGGAACUGUGGCCAUGGCUGAUCCUGGGGGGUGCCCAAAGCAGCUCUGCAGGCGAGGUUAGUGCCUUUGCUCCUCUGUCAUCACCAGUCCCUGAGAGCAAUCACCACCCACCAACAGUUCCUCAAGAUAAGGCUGAGCCAGCUGGGAGAAGAAAUCCUUUGAUAUUUCCCUGCCUCACUGACUGCAUUUUUCACAGCUCACAUCUCAGAGAAGACCAGCAAAGAUGA